rnacentral:rRNA from 1 species
UACGGAGGAUGCAAGCGUUAUCCGGAAUGAUUGGGCGUAAAGCGCCCGCAGGUGGCUGUGUAAGUCUGGUGUUAAAGCGCUAGCUCAACUAGAUAAGAGCAGUGGAAACUACACGGCUAGAGUACGUUCGGGGCAGAGGGAAUUCCUGGUGUAGCGGUGAAAUGCGUAGAGAUCAGGAAGAACACCGGUGGCGAAGGCGCGCUGCUGGGCCGUAACUGACACUGAGGGACGAAAGCUAGGGGAGCGAAUGGG